CUUAAUAACGGCGAUGGGGUUCGCCGUUCAUCCCAUUAGAGAAAAAUUUCUAACGGGAUAAACCGUUCCGAUGCUUCGGGACUGAUGACUCCUACUCUCAA
rnacentral:ncRNA from 2 species